UGACCUCGGAUCAGGUAGGGAUACCCGCUGAACUUAAGCAUAUCAAUAAGCGGAGGAAAAGAAACCAACAGGGAUUGCCUCAGUAACGGCGAGUGAAGCGGCAAGAGCUCAAAUUUGAAAGCUGGCUCCUUCGGGGUCCGCAUUGUAAUUUGCAGAGGAUGCUUCGGGAGCGGCCCCCAUCUAAGUGCCCUGGAACGGGCUGUCAUAGAGGGUGA
rnacentral:rRNA from 1 species